rnacentral:lncRNA from 1 species
AAAAAGGAAAACAAGGGGCUUUUGGUUCAGAGUCGAUGUUACAUCCUGUGUUUGUUUCUUUCAUUUUCUCGGUUUUCUUUUCUUAUUUCUUUUUCACCGACUGCCCUUUUUCGUGCUUCUUUCUUUUGAAUCUUCGAGUUGUCGAAUUUUUAUUUUUCUUUCUUUUUCUCUAUUCAUCAUUUUUCUUUUUCUCUUGUUUUGC